rnacentral:rRNA from 1 species
AUUGAACGCUGGCGGCAGGCCUAACACAUGCAAGUCGAGCGGCAGCGGAAAGUAGCUUGCUACUUUGCCGGCGAGCGGCGGACGGGUGAGUAAUGUCUGGGAAACUGCCUGAUGGAGGGGGAUAACUACUGGAAACGGUAGCUAAUACCGCAUAACGUCGCAAGACCAAAGAGGGGGACCUUCGGGUCUCUUGCCAUCAGAUGUGACCAGAUGGGAUUAGCUAGUAGGUGGGGUAACGGCUCACCUAGGCGACGAUCCCUAGCUGGUCUGAGAGGAUGACCAGCCACACUGGAACUGAGACACGGUCCAGACUCCUACGGGAGGCAGCAGUGGGGAAUAUUGCACAAUGGGCGCAAGCCUGAUGCAGCCAUGCCGCGUGUAUGAAGAAGGCCUUCGGGUUGUAAAGUACUUUCAGCGGGGAGGAAGGCGUUGAGGUUAAUAACCUCAGUGAUUGACGUUACCCGCAGAAGAAGCACCGGCUAACUCCGUGCCAGCCGCCGCCGUAA